CAGUCGCCACGGUAAUACGGAGGGUGCAAGCGUUAAUCGGAAUUACUGGGCGUAAAGCGUGCGUAGGCGGUUCGUUAAGUCUGUUGUGAAAGCCCCGGGCUCAACCUGGGAAUGGCAAUGGAUACUGGCGAGCUAGAGUGUGUCAGAGGAUAGUGGAAUUCCCGGUGUAGCGGUGAAAUGCGUAGAGAUCGGGAGGAACAUCAGUGGCGAAGGCGGCCAUCUGGGACAACACUGACGCUGAGGCACGAAAGCGUGGGGAGCAAACAGGAUUAGAUACCCGCGUAGUCCCUGUCUCUUAUAC
rnacentral:rRNA from 1 species